rnacentral:rRNA from 1 species
UACGGAGGGUGCAAGCGUUGUCCGGAAUCACUGGGUGUAAAGGGUGUGUAGGCGGAUCGGCCAGUCAGAGGUGAAAUCCCACAGCUUAACUGUGGAACUGCCUUUGAUACUGCCGAUCUUGAAUCUCGGAGGGGUCACUAGAAUUCGUGGUGUAGCGGUGAAAUGCGUAGAUAUCACGAGGAAUACCAGAGGCGUAGGCGGGUGACUGGACGAGUAUUGACGCUGAGGCACGAAAGCGUGGGGAGCAAACAGG